rnacentral:rRNA from 1 species
GACGAACGCUGGCGGCGCGCCUAAUACAUGCAAGUCGGACGGACAGCCUUCGGGUUGUCAGUGGCGGACGGGUGAGUAACACGUGGGUGACCUGCCUUCCGGUGGGGAAUAACGCUUAGAAAUAGGCGCUAAUACCGCAUAUGCUUAGUGGUUCGUUCUGCUAAGUAAAGAGCGAUCGCCGGAAGAGGGGCCUGCGUCAGAUUAGCUAGUCGGUGGGGUAACGGCUUACCGAGGCUANGAUCUGUAGCUGGUCUGAGAGGACGACCAGCCACACUGGGACUGAGACACGGCCCAGACUCCUACGGGAGGCAGCAGUAAGGAAUAUUCCACAAUGGGCGCAAGCCUGAUGGAGCGACGCCGCGUGAGCGAAGAAGCACUUCGGUGUGUAAAGCUCUUUUCUCAGGGAUGAUAAUGACAGUACCUGGGGAAUAAG